GACGAACGCUGGCGGCGUGCCUAAUACAUGCAAGUCGAACGAAGCUUUUUUAACUGGUGCUUGCACCGACUUAAACAACUGAGUGGCGAACGGGUGAGUAACACGUGGGUAACCUGCCCCAAAGCGGGGGAUAACAUUUGGAAACAGAUGCUAAUACCGCAUAACCACAGAAACCACAUGGUUUCUGUGUCAAAGAUGGUUUCGGCUAUCACUUUGGGAUGGACCCGCGGCGUAUUAGCUAGUUGGUAAGGUAAUGGCUUACCAAGGCAAUGAUACGUAGCCGAACUGAGAGGUUGAACGGCCACAUUGGGACUGAGACACGGCCCAAACUCCUACGGGAGGCAGCAGUAGGGAAUCUUCCACAAUGGACGAAAGUCUGAUGGAGCAACGCCGCGUGAGUGAAGAAGGUUUUCGGAUCGUAAAACUCUGUUGUCAGAGAAGAACGUGUGCGAGAGUAACUGUUCGUGCAGUGACGGUAUCUGGCCAGAAAGCCACGGCUAACUACGUGCCAGCCGCAGCCGUAA
rnacentral:rRNA from 1 species